GACGAACGCUGGCGGCGUGCUUAACACAUGCAAGUCGAACGGAAAGGCCCUGCUUUUGUGGGGUGCUCGAGUGGCGAACGGGUGAGUAACACGUGAGUAACCUGCCCUUGACUUUGGGAUAACUUCAGGAAACUGGGGCUAAUACCGGAUAGGAGCUCCUGCUGCAUGGUGGGGGUUGGAAAGUUUCGGCGGUUGGGGAUGGACUCGCGGCUUAUCAGCUUGUUGGUGGGGUAGUGGCUUACCAAGGCUUUGACGGGUAGCCGGCCUGAGAGGGUGACCGGCCACAUUGGGACUGAGAUACGGCCCAGACGCCUACGGGAGGCAGCAGUGGGGAAUAUGGCACAAUGGGCGGAAGCCUGAUGCAGCAACGCCGCGUGCGGGAGGACGGCCUUCGGGUUGUAAACCGCUUUCGCCUGUGACGAAGCGUGAGUGACGGUAAUGGGUAAAGAAGCACCGGCUAACUACGU
rnacentral:rRNA from 1 species